AUGUGGGGACUGAGGAACUGGAUUCAGACAACACCCCGCGCCCCCCACAUUAACCCUUCCAACCACCCCCCAAACACUGUGGUGUGUUGGGGAACCCCGUCUUGGGGUUGGGACCCCCAUUCUGAAGGUGGGACCCCCAUUCUGAAGGUGGGACCCCCAUCUUGGGGUUGGGACCCCCAUGGGACCCCCAUUCUGAAGGUGGGACCCCCAUCUUGGGGUUGGGACCCCCCCCCCCUUGGGGAUAAGGUGACACCAAGACCCCUAUCAAGGAGCUGGGACCCCCAUUAUGGGGACAUUGGGACCCCCAUCAUGGGGACAUGGUGACUUUGGGGCCCCCAUCCUGGACCUGGGACCCCCAUCUUGGGGACAUGGUGACUUUGGGACCCCCAUCCUGGAGGUGGGACCCCCAUUAUGGC
rnacentral:lncRNA from 1 species